UCCCACAUCCCAAAGCUGCGCACCGGAGGUGGCGACUGGCGCGUCUACAUGGUCCUUGUGUGAGUGCAUCUGGGGGUGCAUGUGAGUUUGCCCUGCACUGGGAGGGUGUCCGGUCCAGGGCUGGUUUCCAUCCUGCACCCUGUUUCCAGCACAGGUUCUGGCCUCUCAUGACCCUAAGCUGGAAUUAGUGGGUCAAGUUUCAUUGUGUUGCUCUAAGCAAGACGUGCCUGAGCUGUGAACUCACCGCUGGGAAGAGAUCUCACCAUGGGACCCCAGCCAGAAGGAAACGCUUGGGGCAGAGAAGGGGAGCUGCCUCCUGGAACUUCACCCUCCAAUGGGAUGGGGGACCUGGAGGACAGGAAGCCCAAUCUAGCUACAAAGCUCCAAAGGAAAUGACAACAGCCAGGAUCAACACAGUCUCCCAAAGAAUCCAGCAAACAGAACUGUGUACAUCACAUGCCUCACUGUGCUCUAGGCCUGAAGAAGAAGACAAGAAUCAGAGAAGUCCUUGUCCUCAAGAAGCUCCCUGCUUAAAGACCAAGAUGUACAACCAUUCAAAUGCACAAAGCCAGAGAGUGUUACAGCAGAGGUAGGCAUUUCAGAUAAGGGAGGAAACUCAGAAGUACCGAGUCAUUUCCCCAAGCUCACAGGGCAACUAGAUGGUAGCGCCACAGUCUCUCAGUGGUUGCUGAAUGGAGAGGUAUUUGGCAAGAUCUAA